CCUACGGGUGGCAGCAGUGGGGAAUAUUGGGCAAUGGGCGCAAGCCUGACCCAGCAACGCCGCGUGAAGGAUGAAGGCCUUCGGGUUGUAAACUUCUUUUCUCAGGGACGAAGCAUGUGACGGUACCUGAAGAUUAAGUUACGGCUAACUACGUGCCAGCAGCCGCGGUAGUACGUAGGUGGCAAGCGUUAUCCGGAUUUACUGGGUGUAAAGGGCGUGUAGGCGGGAAGGCAAGUCAGAUGUGAAAACCAUGGGCUCAAACUGUGACCUGCAGUUGAAACUGGCUUUCUUGAGUACAGGAGAGGUGGGCGGAAUUCCUGGUGUAGCGGUGAAAUGCGUAGAUAUCAGGAAGAACACCAGUGGCGAAGGCGG
rnacentral:rRNA from 1 species